rnacentral:rRNA from 1 species
UGGUGACUAUAGAGAAGGUGUCACACCUGAUUCCAUUCCGAACUCAGAAGUUAAGCCCUUCAUCGCCGAUGGUACUGUACACAAGAGUAUGGGAGAGUAGGUCGUUGCCAAGUC